GGAGAGGUGGCCGAGUGGUUGAAGGCAACGGUCUUGAAAACCGUCGUGCCCGCAAGGGUACCGCAGGUUCGAAUCCUGUCCUCUCCG
rnacentral:tRNA from 2 species